UCUAUCAGCAUUGCUUUGCAUUGCUAUUGCAGGAGUUUUGGGUCAAGCUCCUAGUAAUCCUCCUACGUCUACGCCGGCGCCACCCACACCACCGGCUUCUACUCCUCCUCCGACGACUCAACCACCGCCUACACCAACCGCCACUCCGCCACCAGUUUCUACUCCUCUUCCCACUUCAUCACCGCCCCCAGUGACAGCUUCUCCACCCCCAGUUUCAACUCCUCCACCCAGUUCUCCUCCUCCCGCAACUCCACCACCUGCUUCUCCACCUCCUGCAACUCCACCUCCAGCUUCUCCACCUCCUGCAACUCCACCUCCAGCUUCUCCACCUCCCGCCACUCCUCCACCAGCAACCCCCCCACCUGCAACUCCUCCUGCUACCCCACCAC
rnacentral:lncRNA from 1 species